GUCUAUGGCCAUACCCCCCUGAACGCGCCCGAUCUCGUCUGAUCUCGGAAGCUAAGCAGGGUCGGGCCUGGUUAGUACUUGGAUGGGAGUCCAUUAAAUCGCUCUCUUUAGAUA
rnacentral:rRNA from 1 species